AUCUCCUACAUAGUUGCCCUCCCUCUUGAUCUCUGCCUCUCCUUCAACCCGUUGUCACGGCACCCCCAACUCCUACCCAUCAGCAAAAGCAAAGAAAAAACUGAAACUUACCAUUUGAAACCAAACCCCCAAACACUCACACUCUCCCUCUUUCUCUGUCUCCAAGUGUGAAGCUAUCUCAAUUCUCAAGGAGUGAAUGCCUCUCUGAAGCGACGCAGCCACUGGCCAGGUCGGCGGUUCCAACGACACUAGUCUUUUUCUCAUCGAAAAAUCCCUAAAAUCCCCCCUGGUACAGUCGCCGCCGGUGCCGACCAGAUUUAUCUGCGAUUCCUAGGCCGCUUCCUACAUCAGACUUCGCAAUCACAAGGAGACCCCUUUUCAAUCCACUAAAGAAGGAUCAUGGAGCUCUAAUGAUAAACUGAAUCAUGCUGGUGAUUUAGAUACCAUUCAUUGGAUCUCACUCCGUACUUGGGAGGGCAGUUGUUGUGAAUGCUAAUCCUAAGGAUUUGGAAGCAUGAAAGGCCAUUGGUUUAAAGCUACGCGUAUCUCUAUAAGAUCUAGCCGACUAUUGUGUUUUGCUUGGUGAGGUGUGCGUGUAAAAGAAGACUCCUCAAAACAAUUUGGAAACCAACUUUGGCAUAUCAACUCUUGAAUAAGCAGUGUUACAGCAAAUUUAAUUUGUAUAAGAGGCUUUCUCUCUUGGGGCUGCAGUAAUAAAAUUAGAGAAGUGUUUGUGGUUUGAUUCUUGUUAACAAGAAAAAAAUUUAGCUUUAGCUAGCCAAAAGUUUAAUGUAUCUUGUGAGAAAAGGUUUUGAAGCAUUCUAUGAUCAAUUGAAGCGUCGUGUAUCUUGAAGUCAACCUAGGCUAAUUUUCAGUUUUAGUAAAACAUUGAAUGUAUUCUCUAAU